rnacentral:rRNA from 1 species
CGGGUGAGUAACGCGUAGGUGACCUGCCCCUUUGUGUGGGAUAACCCGGAGAAAUUCGGGCUAAUACCGCAUAAGCAAAGCAAUUUUGAAAGUAGCUUUGGAAAGAUGGCCUCUGAUUUAAGCUAUCACUGAGGGAUGGGCCUGCGUGACAUUAGUUUGUUGGUAAGGUAAUGGCUUACCAAGACUACGAUGUCUAGCUGGUCUGAGAGGAUGAUCAGCCACACUGGAACUGAGACACGGUCCAGACUCC